rnacentral:rRNA from 1 species
GACGAACGCUGGCGGCGUGCCUAAUACAUGCAAGUCGAGCGGACUUGAAGGAGUUCUUGCACUCCUGAGAGUUAGCGGCGGACGGGUGAGUAACACGUAGGCAACCUGCCCUCUAGACUGGGAUAACUACCGGAAACGGUAGCUAAUACCGGAUAAUUUAUUACAUAGCAUUAUGUGAUAAUGAAAGACGGAGCAAUCUGUCACUUGGGGAUGGGCCUGCGGCGCAUUAGCUAGUUGGUGGGGUAACGGCCCACCAAGGCGACGAUGCGUAGCCGACCUGAGAGGGUGAACGGCCACACUGGGACUGAGACACGGCCCAGACUCCUACGGGAGGCAGCAGUAGGGAAUCUUCCGCAAUGGGCGAAAGCCUGACGGAGCAACGCCGCGUGAGUGAUGAAGGUUUUCGGAUCGUAAAGCUCUGUUGCCAAGGAAGAACGUCUCAUAGAGUAACUGCUAUGAGAGUGACGGUACUUGAGAAGAAAGCCCCGGCUAACUACGUG